rnacentral:rRNA from 1 species
UUCGAUUCUGGCUCAGGAUGAACGCUAGCGACAGGCUUAACACAUGCAAGUCGAGGGGCAGCAUAAAAGUAGCAAUACUUUGGUGGCGACCGGCGCACGGGUGAGUAACGCGUAUGCAACCUACCUAUCAGGAGGGGGAUAACCCGGCGAAAGUCGGACUAAUACCGCAUAAAACAGGGGCACCGCAUGGUGAUAUUUGUUAAAGAUUAAUUGCUGAUAGAUGGGCAUGCGUUCCAUUAGGUAGUUGGUGAGGUAAUGGCUCACCAAGCCGACGAUGGAUAGGGGAACUGAGAGGUUGGUCCCCCACACUGGUACUGAGACACGGACCAGACUCCUACGGGAGGCAGCAGUGAGGAAUAUUGGUCAAUGGGCGAGAGCCUGAACCAGCCAAGUCGCGUGAAGGAAGAAGGAUCUAUGGUUCGUAAACUUCUUUUGCAGGGGAAUAAAGUGGAGGACGUGUCCUCUUUUGUAUGUACCCUGAGAAUAAGGAUCGGCUAACUCCGUGCCAGCCGCAGC